AGCGAACGCUGGCGGCAGGCCUAACACAUGCAAGUCGAACGAACCUUUCGGGGUUAGUGGCGGACGGGUGAGUAACACGUGGGAACGUGCCUUUAGGUUCGGAAUAACUCAGGGAAACUUGUGCUAAUACCGAAUGCGCCCUUCGGGGGAAAGAUUAAUCGCCUUUAGAGCGGCCCGCGUCUGAUUAGCUAGUUGGUUGAGGUAAUGGCUCACCAAGGCGACGAUCAGUAGCUGGUCUGAGAGGAUGAUCAGCCACAUUGGGACUGAGACACGGCCCAAACUCCUACGGGGGGCAGCAGUGGGGAAUCUUGCGCAAUGGGCGAAAGCCUGACGCAGCCAUGCCGCGUGAAUGAUGAAGGUCUUAGGAUUGUAAAAUUCUUUCACCGGGGACGAUAAUGACGGUACCCGGAGAAGAAGCCCCGGCUAACUUCGUG
rnacentral:rRNA from 1 species